rnacentral:lncRNA from 1 species
CUUGAUUGAAUAUAGUUUGAAUUACAUAUAAUUCUAUGUAUAUGUUAUAUAUAGAGAGAAUUCUAUAUGUUAUAUAUAUAGAAUUCUAGAUUUUAAUCCUUGUCAUUAAAAAAAAUUUCCUAAGCAUUUAAUAGAUAAAAUAAUUUUAACUUUUAAAAAGUACUAAGUAGUACUACAAAAUUUGUAGUAAAUGCAGAUUACUUUGUAAAACUUAAUAAAACAAAAAAGUUAUCAUUUGAUAUUGUGGCUUUUGUGUUGAAACCCUUAUUUGAAUUUACUGAGACUUUACAUUAGAAGAUACAUACACACGUAUGUAUGUAAAAGUUAACAACUGUGAAUCACUGCAUUAGGUUCACUUAAAAUGUUGGAGUUGCAAGUGUUUAAGAAAAACCUGCUUAUUUUUAAAAGGGGUAGUUCUUUCUUAAAGUUUGGGUACAAAUGGUUAAGCUUGUUUCAAACAAUGGAUGGUAUUUAAAUAAUUUUUGCAAUCCUAUUCCUAGAAAAUUAUGGGCUUUGUGUCCUUAAAAGAUAUAUUAAGAUCAGUUAUAGAGUCAUUAGGAAUUAGAAGACAGUAAAGUUAACUUCUUCAAAAACUUGUAUUUUAAAGCUUGUCUUUUUCUGAGCCCUACUUGUUCAGUGGCCUGAAGAGUUCUUUAAAUGAACCACUAUUCAGUCAUUAGUUUUACUAAAAUUACCUACUUGGAAUAUGAAGCAUACAAUUAAUUAGGUUUUCGAAAUACCAUGAAACAGGAUACAGUCAAAGUGUUACAGAGUAAAGGUGGAGUUUUGGGAAGUCUGUAUUUAAACGGUACAUUAUGAUGGGAAUCAUUCUUAUUUUGAAUUACGUUGCUCAGGAAAUCAGUAUUUUUCUUCCAAGUAUGUGCAUAUUGCACUGUUGGAUCACAGAAAUCUGAAUGCUUUAAUUAUGUAUGCAAAUUAUAUAAAACUUUUGUAUAAUGUAUUUUAUACAAAUGCAGCAUGGAAUUGUAGAAUAUUAUGUUAGCAUGUACAUCUGUAAAACUGGGUUUUAAAACUUUCUGCCCCUUAUUUUUCAUAUUUUAAAAGAUAUACAAAAUGUAAUAAAGUUUCUAUUUUAUUAUUCAAUCAAAAA